AACGAACGCUGGCGGCAGGCCUAACACAUGCAAGUCGAACGCCCUAGCAAUAGGGAGUGGCAGACGGGUGAGUAACGCGUGGGGACGUGCCCUUCGGUUCGGAAUAACUCAGGGAAACUUGAGCUAAUACCGGAUACGUGCGAGAGCAGAAAGCUUUAUCGCCGAAGGAUCGGCCCGCGUUCGAUUAGCUAGUUGGUGAGGUAAUGGCUCACCAAGGCGACGAUCGAUAGCUGGUCUGAGAGGAUGAUCAGCCACACUGGGACUGAGACACGGCCCAGACUCCUACGGGAGGCAGCAGUGGGGAAUAUUGGACAAUGGGCGCAAGCCUGAUCCAGCCAUGCCGCGUGAGUGAUGAAGGCCCUAGGGUUGUAAAGCUCUUUCGCCAGGGACGAUAAUGACGGUACCUGGAUAAGAAGCCCCGGCUAACUUCGUGCCAGCAGCCGCCGCCG
rnacentral:rRNA from 1 species